rnacentral:rRNA from 1 species
UACGUAGGGCGCGAGCGUUGUCCGGAUUUAUUGGGCGUAAAGAGCUCGUAGGCGGCUUGUCGCGUAGUCCGUGAAAACCUGCGGCUCAACUGCAGGCUGGCGGUCGAUACGGGCAGGCUGGAGUUCGGUAGGGGAGACUGGAAUUCCUGGUGUAGCGGUGAAAUGCGCAGAUAUCAGGAGGAACACCGGUGGCGAAGGCGGGUCUCUGGGCCGAUACUGACGCUGAGGAGCGAAAGCGUGGGGAGCGAACAGG